UACGUAGGUGGCAAGCGUUAUUCGGAAUUAUUGGGCGUAAAGAGCGUGUAGGCGGCUUUGCAAGUCCGUUGUGAAAACUCGAGGCUCAACCUCGAGACGCCGGUGGAAACUGCAAAGCUAGAGUCCGGAAGAGGAGAGUGGAAUUCCUGGUGUAGCGGUGAAAUGCGCAGAUAUCAGGAAGAACACCCGUGGCGAAGGCGGCUCUCUGGGACGGUACUGACGCUGAGACGCGAAAGCGUGGGGAGCGAACAGG
rnacentral:rRNA from 1 species